ensembl:lncRNA
AUCUUGAGUUAAAGAACAGAUGUCUGAAGUCAGAGGUAGUAAAGGGUGGACAAGACUGCAAUUACUAUCUGUGAGGAACGAUUCUGGAUGCAGUUGCAUUUAUUCAGCGCUUAGGCAAGUAUCUUUGCCAAGGCAUGAAAUGGAGUCAGAAAGACUUAUUUCCCGUGUGCACUUGCAUCCCAGAAGGCCAAUCGUAUCCUUGUUUCCAUCAGAAGAUGCAUACCCGGCAGAGUGAGGAAGUUGAUUGUUCCCCUCUAUUCUGCCCUUGUGAGGCCCCGUCUAGAGUACUGUGUCCAGGUCUGGGGCCUCCAAUACAGGAAAGAUAUGGAGGUUUUGGAGAGGCUCCAGAGAAGGGCUACAAAGAUGAUCCAAGGACUGGAGCACUUCUCUUAUGAAGACAGGCUGAAGAAACUGAUCUUGUUCAUCCUGGAAAAGAGAAAACUGCAGGGAGACCUCAUUGCAGCCUUCCAGUAUUUAGAGGGAGUUUAUAAACAUUAAGGAAAUCAACUUUUUAUAUGGGUAGAUAGUAAUAUGACAAAAGGGAAGGCUUUCAAGCUAAAGAGAGGAAGAUUUAGAUUAGAUGUCAAGGGGAAGUUCUUUAUUGAGAGAGUGGUGAGGUGCAGGAACAGGUUGCCCAGAGAGGUUGUGGAUGCCCCUUCCCUGGAGGUGUUCAAGGCCAGGUUGCAUGUGGCUCUGGACAAUCUGGUCCAGUAUUUGAUUGAGGGUCUGGCAAGUCUGCCUGUGUCAGGGGAGUGGAAAGUGAUGACCCUUGAUGUUCCUUCCAGCCCAAGCCACUCUACGAUUCUAUGAAAUUAAUUACUUGAGUUGGAGGCUAAGUACAAGUUAGAUAUUCAUGGAUAAAAGUAAAUUCUUUAUUAUAAUUAAUAUUUAGAAAUGCUGACCUCAAAAUACAUUUUACGGUAACAGUAGGAAGGAAUAAUUUAGAUAAAAUUGACUAACAAUAACAUUGCAUAAAUUUAUUUUAAAUACCAGGGCAUAUUUUUGAAUAGAGAUGACUAAUAAUGCAUAUAAAUUGCUAUAUCAAGAGCAAAAUGUUUUCCUUGCAUCAAGUCAUUUCUCAUUUAUUUGAUAGGCAGCCUCAUAUUAUGUCAAAAAGUAACACCAAAUACAUACAAUAAUUAAGGUCUUUACUGUGGCAAUGCAAUCUUUUCUUUGACAGGGACUUAUUGAAUAAUCUUAAUCAUCUUGUAUUGAAUCACUGUAGUUUGAAUGGUCCUUCCAGGCUAGAAGGUCCUCCAUAUGGCCUUCUUGGUGUGCUGGAGAUACCUCUGUAAAGUAAGAAAAUGUGGAAUCAGUUACAGAGAAGUAGAAGAUUAGGUUUGAAUAGGUCUGAUUAGGUUUUGCUUAUUUUCCCUGCUCUGGAUAUCUCUUUACCAAUUGAAUAAAAUUCUUCAGGUUGUGCUGUAUUUAUUCCUGCUUUUUGAUCAAAUACAGGCGAAAGAACAUUCAUAAUUGAUACUGAAAGAUAAGAAAUGGCAUUACAUACCAAGUUUUGUACACACUUAUGCAUAUGAAGAGCUUUUGAUGGUUAUUAGUUCAGCUGAAUGAAUCAAUUACAUGCAGAAAUUCUUUGUGUUAGCUUAUUGCCCAUGACACAAGUCGAUGAACUUCAGGACAAUUAUUUGUUUCCUUAUCUAUAUUUUAUACAUCCUUAUUGUAAAGCACUUAGAAAAUAAUUUGGUUACACUGGAAGCAGGGAAUGAGGGUGGGAAGAUGUUGUGUGUGGGGUACCUUCCCCACAGCAGCCUUCAUGAUGAGCUUUGGUUAGAAAGCACUCAAGGAGGGUCUUUUCCUUCAUUAAAAGGAAAAGGGAAAAAAAUCCAGGAAUGAAUGGUCACUGGAUACUUUGACAGUAUAGAAGUUCUAAUCACUUUGGUUUGGGCCAGUUCUCCCUUUCUUAAGACUUUAAUAGAGAAGCUAUUAAAGUCUGAAUUACAUUAAAAUUUGAGUACUUUUGCUGCACAUGAUAUGGAGUAAAUAAUAUGCUGGUCAGUGAUUUUUAUAGGCAUUGUUUUGUCAUUUAUUCGUGACAUUUGUUCAGGCUGUUGAACUGAUUCUUUAUGAUGCUUUUGAUACUUCUUCAGAGAAUUUCUCUUGGAGAACAAAGAUUAAAAUUGGAUAUGUAUUUUAAUACCUUGUGAAUCAGGACCUGUACAAAAAGAAUUGGACAGCUGAAUCAUAUGAACUUGGUAUAAGUUAAACAGUCUUCAGUUGCAAUAAAAUUGUUGUUUUUAGCAGAUGACUUUCCUCACCACUAGAUCUGAAUUUGUCUAUAAACUGGUAUGGAUGGCAUUGUUUUGAAAAUCCAGCUAAUAGUAAAAAUCUGAGAAGGCCACAAUGCAUUUUCCUUAACUUUACUGUUCUUUCAAGACUCCUCAGUUGGUUGAACUUAUGCCAUAAAUUAAUAACUGCAGGCAUUCAUGCUUGUACCACAGUCACUGUGAAUAAUUGGUAGUGCUUAAAAGUUUUGAUGAUUUAUUAUCUGGGCAGGCAAAUACAC